rnacentral:lncRNA from 1 species
GGGGUACAUUUUAAGACUCAAUAUUAUUAUUCAUAUAGACAUAUCAGGGAAAGUGAAACUGGUAAUCACGUAAGAACGAGAUAUCAAACAACACAACAGCAUCCUUUCUUAAAAAAUAAGGAUAAGCGAACUAUUUAUUUUAAGGAACACAGUAUAACGCAGACGCUCACAACGCACGCAAACCCUACCCGUAAGAGCAUCUCCGAAGCCUGAUCAGCCAGCAUCCUUUCUAAAAAAUAAGGAUAAGCGAACUAUUUAUUUUAAGGAACACAGCCUGAUCAGCGGAACCCAGAACCUUAGAAAAUCCUUAGAAAAUUCGCUCCAACCAGGACCUUAGGUGCUACUAAGGCCCUUGUAACCACUAGGCUACAGGCC